rnacentral:rRNA from 1 species
GACGAACGCUGGCGGCGUGCCUAAUACAUGCAAGUCGAGCGGACCGACGGGAGCUUGCUCCCUUAGGUCAGCGGCGGACGGGUGAGUAACACGUGGGUAACCUGCCUGUAAGACUGGGAUAACUCCGGGAAACCGGGGCUAAUACCGGAUGCUUGAUUGAACCGCAUGGUUCAAUCAUAAAAGGUGGCUUUUAGCUACCACUUGCAGAUGGACCCGCGGCGCAUUAGCUAGUUGGUGAGGUAACGGCUCACCAAGGCGACGAUGCGUAGCCGACCUGAGAGGGUGAUCGGCCACACUGGGACUGAGACACGGCCCAGACUCCUACGGGAGGCAGCAGUAGGGAAUCUUCCGCAAUGGACGAAAGUCUGACGGAGCAACGCCGCGUGAGUGAUGAAGGUUUUCGGAUCGUAAAACUCUGUUGUUAGGGAAGAACAAGUACCGUUCGAAUAGGGCGGUACCUUGACGGUACCUAACCAGAAAGCCACGGCUAACUACGUGCCAGCAGCCGCGGUAAUACGUAGGUGGCAAGCGUUGUCCGGAAUUAUUGGGCGUAAAGCGCGCGCAGGCGGUUUCUUAAGUCUGAUGUGAAAGCCCCCGGCUCAACCGGGGAGGGUCAUUGGAAACUGGGGAACUUGAGUGCAGAAGAGGAGAGUGGAAUUCCACGUGUAGCGGUGAAAUGCGUAGAGAUGUGGAGGAACACCAGUGGCGAAGGCGACUCUCUGGUCUGUAACUGACGCUGAGGCGCGAAGCGUGGGGAGCGAACAGG